rnacentral:rRNA from 1 species
AGUGGCGGACGGGUGAGUAACGCGUGAGAAUCUGGCUUCAGGAGGGGGACAACAGUUGGAAACGACUGCUAAUACCCCAUAUGUCUACGGAUGAAACGGUGAAUUCCGCCUGAAGAUGAGCUCGCGUCGGAUUAGCUAGUUGGUGAGGUAAAGGCUCACCAAGGCGACGAUCCGUAGCUGGUCAGAGAGGAUGAUCAGCCACACUGGGACUGAGACACGGCCCAGACUCCUACGGGAGGCAGCAGUGGGGAAUUUUCCGCAAUGGGCGAAAGCCUGACGGAGCAAGACCGCGUGCGGGAUGAAGGUCUGUGGAUUGUAAACCGCUUUUCUCUGGGAAGAACACAAUGACGGUACCAGAGGAAUCAGCCUCGGCUAACUCCGUGCCAGCAGCCGCGGUAAUACGGAGGAGGCAAGCGUUAUCCGGAAUUAUUGGGCGUAAAGCGUCCGUAGGUGGUUGAGGAAGUCUGCUGUCAAAGCAUGGAGCUUAACUCCAUAAGGGCAGUGGAAACUCCUCGACUAGAGUGCGGUAGGGGUAAGGGGAAUUCCCAGUGUAGCGGUGAAAUGCGUAGAUAUUGGGAAGAACAUCGGUGGCGAAGGCGCCUUGCCGGACCUGCACUGACACUGAGGGACGAAAGCUAGGGGAGCGAAAGGGAUUAGAUACCCCUGUAGUCCUAGCUGUAAACGAUGGAAACUAGGUGUUG